UGCUCCCGGAUGUUAGCGGCGGACGGGUGAGUAACACGUGGGUAACCUGCCUGUAAGACUGGGAUAACUCCGGGAAACCGGAGCUAAUACCGGAUAGUUCCUUGAACCGCAUGGUUCAAGGAUGAAAGACGGUUUCGGCUGUCACUUACAGAUGGACCCGCGGCGCAUUAGCUAGUUGGUGGGGUAAUGGCUCACCAAGGCGACGAUGCGUAGCCGACCUGAGAGGGUGAUCGGCCACACUGGGACUGAGACACGGCCCAGACUCCUACGGGAGGCAGCAGUAGGGAAUCUUCCGCAAUGGACGAAAGUCUGACGGAGCAACGCCGCGUGAGUGAUGAAGGUUUUCGGAUCGUAAAGCUCUGUUGUUAGGGAAGAACAAGUGCGAGAGUAACUGCUCGCACCUUGACGGUACCUAACCAGAAAGCCACGGCUAACUACGUGCCAGCAGCCGCGGUAAUACGUAGGUGGCAAGCGUUGUCCGGAAUUAUUGGGCGUAAAGGGCUCGCAGGCGGUUUCUUAAGUCUGAUGUGAAAGCCCCCGGCUCAACCGGGGAGGGUCAUUGGAAACUGGGAAACUUGAGUGCAGAAGAGGAGAGUGGAAUUCCACGUGUAGCGGUGAAAUGCGUAGAGAUGU
rnacentral:rRNA from 1 species